rnacentral:rRNA from 1 species
UACGGAGGAUGCGAGCGUUAUCCGGAUUUAUUGGGUUUAAAGGGUGCGUAGGCGGGCUUUUAAGUCAGCGGUAAAAAUUCGGGGCUUAACCCCGUCCGGCCGUUGAAACUGGGGGCCUUGAGUGGGCGAGAAGAAGGCGGAAUGCGUGGUGUAGCGGUGAAAUGCAUAGAUAUCACGCAGAACCCCGAUUGCGAAGGCAGCCUUCCGGCGCCCUACUGACGCUGAGGCACGAAAGUGCGGGGAUCGAACAGG